rnacentral:lncRNA from 1 species
AGGAUAUACAUGACAUAACUAGGGUCGGGACAAACCCCCGACCACACAUGACUCCUGUACAAUAACAAAAUAUAAGGAACCGACUCGGAAAGCUCCGAAGCAAACUGGAGCUCACCAACAACAGCUGUAUGACCUGGCUCCUACUUGUGCUGUGUAUGAGCUGAGGUACCUGUGCCUGCAGCAUGAAAUGCAGGUCCCCCGUGAGGGACGUCAGUACGAAACAUGUACUGAGUAUGUAAAGCUGUAAAUAAUCAUAUGUGGUAUGGGGGAUCAAGAAAAUCAAACGCAAGUGAAUAAAUCAUAAUAGAAGUGAACCACACUUCAUAAACACUUUUAGGAUCAUGUACAUUAUCUUAUCAUUAAUCUGAAUUGGGUUCUUGAAUUUAAACACAUUUAUGGAACGGUAUACAUUCGUUCACUUCAUUCUUUACAAUUAUCAUUCGCCAUUACCUCCUCCUCCCGAACCUCCAAACCACCUAACAAUAAUCAAUACUGUACCGUACUGUGACCAUUAGGCUGCCCCCAGUACAUAUCAACUGUAAUCAUAUCAAAUAUCGGGAUCGGCCCAUGCUAGGCUUAAGCCCCUGAGCUACCACCCACACGUAUAUCAAGUAACACACAUAAGAGAUCUUUCCAAUAACUUAGUUCAAAAGCUUUUGAGAUUAUUACAUUAGUGUUCAUGCCAAUAUAGUACCUUUGGAAUAAUGAUACAUCAAUAGGAACCAAGUAAUAGACUUUCUAUACAAUAACGAUGUAAUAAAGACUCAUUGGUACAUCAACAAUGUGUUUCGGAAUCAUCAAUAUCACAACAAUGAAAUAGGAGCCUUUCGGUAUAUCAAUGAAACAUUUUGACACUUUAUAGAAUGGAAACAACUUCGUUGGUAAUGUAGAACAAUACAUGUUUUUGGACAACCUCGGAAUCUUACUUGAUGGAACAUUGGUGUUUUCAUGCCAAAGAACAUCGUUAGAGUAUGCUUUACAUACCUCGUUGUAGAUUCGGAUACCAAUUCAACACAACUUCCCGCCUUUACAAAUCACUUAUCUACAAU